GAUGCCCGUGGAAGCGAUGGACCGCGCGCUCCCGGACUCAUAAUCCGUUGGUCCCAGGUUCGAAUCCUGGUGGGCCCACCA
rnacentral:tRNA from 1 species